ACACGACUACAUUAGAUACCCCCGUAGUCCUAGCCGUAAACGAUACUCGCUAGGUGUCGGCCACGGUGCGACCGUUGUCGGUGCCGUAGGGAAGCCGUGAAGCGAGCCACCUGGGAAGUACGGCCGCAAGGCUGAAACUUAAAGGAAUUGGCGGAGGAGCACCACAAGAGGUGGAGGCUGCGGUUCAAUUGGACUCAACGCCGGAAAACUCAUCGGGAGCGACAGCAGUAUGAUUGCCAGGUUGAUGACCUUGCUUGACAAGCUG
rnacentral:rRNA from 1 species